GAUGAACGCUGGCGGCGUGCCUAAUACAUGCAAGUCGAGCGAACAGACGAGGAGCUUGCUCCUCUGACGUUAGCGGCGGACGGGUGAGUAACACGUGGAUAACCUACCUAUAAGACUGGGAUAACUUCGGGAAACCGGAGCUAAUACCGGAUAAUAUUUUGAACCGCAUGGUUCAAUAGUGAAAGACGGUCUUGCUGUCACUUAUAGAUGGAUCCGCGCCGCAUUAGCUAGUUGGUAAGGUAACGGCUUACCAAGGCAACGAUGCGUAGCCGACCUGAGAGGGUGAUCGGCCACACUGGAACUGAGACACGGUCCAGACUCCUACGGGAGGCAGCAGUAGGGAAUCUUCCGCAAUGGGCGAAAGCCUGACGGAGCAACGCCGCGUGAGUGAUGAAGGUCUUCGGAUCGUAAAACUCUGUUAUUAGGGAAGAACAAAUGUGUAAGUAACUGUGCACGUCUUGACGGUACCUAAUCAGAAAGCCACGGCUAACUACGUG
rnacentral:rRNA from 1 species